AUAGAUAAUAGACAGAUCUGUCUGUCUGUCUAUUAUCUAUCUCUCUCUCUAUAUAUAUAGAGAGAUAGAUAAUAGACAGACAGACAGACAGAUAACAGACAG